rnacentral:rRNA from 1 species
GAUGAACGCUGGCGGCGUGCCUAAUACAUGCAAGUCGAGCGAACAGACGAGGAACUUGCUCCUCUGACGUUAGCGGCGGACGGGUGAGUAACACGUGGAUAACCUACCUAUAAGACUGGGAUAACUUCGGGAAACCGGAGCUAAUACCGGAUAAUAUAUUGAACCGCAUGGUUCAAUAGUGAAAGACGGUUUUGCUGUCACUUAUAGAUGGUUGCGCGCCGCAUUAGCUAGUUGGUAAGGUAACGGCUUACCAAGGCGACGAUGCGUAGCAGACCUGAGAGGGUGAUCGGCCACACUGGAACUGAGACACGGUCCAGACUCCUACGGGAGGCAGCAGUGGGGAAUAUUGCGCAAUGGGCGAAAGCCUGAUGGAGCAAUGCCGCGUGUAUGAAGAAGGUCUUCGGGUCGUAAAACUCUGUUAUUGGGGAGGAACAAAUUUGUAAUUAACUCUGCACGUCUUGACGGUACCCGAACAGGAAGCAACGGCUAACUCCGUG